rnacentral:rRNA from 1 species
AUUGAACGCUGGCGGCAGGCUUAACACAUGCAAGUCGAGCGGAGAUGAGGUGCUUGCACCUUAUCUUAGCGGCGGACGGGUGAGUAAUGCUUAGGAAUCUGCCUAUUAGUGGGGGACAACAUUCCGAAAGGAAUGCUAAUACCGCAUACGCCCUACGGGGGAAAGCAGGGGAUCUUCGGACCUUGAGCUAAUAGAUGAGCCUAAGUCGGAUUAGCUAGUUGGUGGGGUAAAGGCCUACCAAGGCGACGAUCUGUAGCGGGUCUGAGAGGAUGAUCCGCCACACUGGGACUGAGACACGGCCCAGACUCCUACGGGAGGCAGCAGUGGGGAAUAUUGGACAAUGGGCGGAAGCCUGAUCCAGCCAUGCCGCGUGUGUGAAGAAGGCCUUUUGGUUGUAAAGCACUUUAAGCGAGGAGGAGGCUACCUGGAUUAAUACUCUAGGAUAGUGGACGUACUCGCAGAAUAAGCACCGGCUAACUCUGUGCCAGCAGCCGCGGUAACAC